GUUUUAAUAAUUUAAUAAAAAUUUUAAUCUUGUAAAUUAAAAAUAAGCUUAAGCUUUUAAAAUA
rnacentral:tRNA from 1 species